rnacentral:lncRNA from 1 species
UGAAUCUCGGAAAGAUUUUUUGCAUGCCUCAGGAACAGCCACUGGCAUAUGUUUAAGGUUGACUUCAACCUGGACUGUGAUUACACGAACGCUUGUGCUGGCAUAAGGGAGUAGGCGGCACAGGAGCAAAAUGAAGAGACAGAGUGCUCUAUGCCAACAUGACCUAAGAACCAAGGCAGUGUUGACACGAAAAAGAAAAGAAAUCUGGGUCAAACACAACUACUUGUCAGCAAGUACCUGA